GCAGUGAACCUCGACCUUGGCAAUGCGCACGCGCGGUAUUGCCUUACGGGUUGAAACGUGUGCGCGGGCACCGCUGUGCGCCUGUCAGAUUCAGAUCUCGCGUGUGUGUUGUGGUUGUAUGUGUGAUUGUUAAAAUAACAAUACGGUAGUGGGAGCAAGCUGAUCACUCUUCAUUGCAAUGGAUUAAAGAAGGAUUUUUAAUCGCUGUCAGAGGUCUGUGACGACAACUGCUGGAAGGAGGCGAAACAGCUUCGGUUUCGAAAGUGGAUAGUAAUUUAGUGGAGGAAAGGUGGGCCGACCACAUGACUCCUGCAAGAGGGUCUAAACUAAAUGACAUGUAUUCGUAGUUGCGAAUACGAACCACCACCAGCUGGAUAAGGGAACGACGAUCAUGAAAAUUUGUGCCGGACGGGCAGUCGAGCCCGGUUCUCACGCUUUAUGGAAACGGCCGCCUUCUCCAGAUAAUGAAGCUGCAGCUAUACUCGCAGACCAUCAACGCAAGAAGCAGUUUGAUUUUAAAGGGCUGUAGACGUUUCCUCCAAGACUUGCAGACACAUGCCACUCCCAAGAAAGCUAAUCCGCUGGUAAUAGACAACCUGAAAGCUGCCAGAGAAAACGAAUAUAACGGAGGGAAGGUAAAAUGUAAUAUAAGAAUGACGUAGCGAAAGCCGCUGCGUAACAUGUACUUUUAUAAUCAUUAAAGGGAAGUA